rnacentral:rRNA from 1 species
UACGAGGGGAGCAAGCGUUGUUCGGAUUUACUGGGCGUAAAGGGCGCGUAGGCGGUCGUGACAAGUCACUUGUGAAAUCUCCGGGCUUAACUCGGAACGGUCAAGUGAUACUGUCGGACUAGAGUACAGAAGGGGCAACUGGAAUUCUCGGUGUAGCGGUGAAAUGCGUAGAUAUCGAGAGGAACACCUGCGGCGAAGGCGGGUUGCUGGGCUGAUACUGACGCUGAGGUGCGAAAGCGUGGGGAGCAAACAGG